UACGUAGGAGACGAGCGUUGUCCGGAAUUAUUGGGCGUAAAGGGCGCGCAGGCGGCCUCUCGCGUGUCUGGUGAAAGCUCUCGGCUUAACCGGGAGAGGUCCAGGCAGACGGGGAGGCUUGAGCGUCGGAGAGGGGCAUGGAACUCCGGGUGGAGCGGUGAAAUGCGUAGAGAUCCGGAAGAACACCAAUGGCGAAGGCAGUGCCCUGGCCGACCGCUGACGCUCAGGCGCGAAAGCGUGGGGAGCAAACAGG
rnacentral:rRNA from 1 species